GAUGAACGCUGGCGGCAUGCCUAAUACAUGCAAGUCGAACGAGAGGAAGGAAAGCUUGCUUUUCUGAAUCUAGUGGCGAACGGGUGAGUAACACGUAGGUAACCUGCCCAUGUGCCCGGGAUAACUUCUGGAAACGGAUGCUAAAACCGGAUAGGUAGCAGACAAGCAUUUGACUGCUAUUAAAGUGGCUAAGGCCAUGAACAUGGAUGGACCUGCGGUGCAUUAGCUAGUUGGGGAGGUAACGGCCCACCAAGGCGACGAUGCAUAGCCGGCCUGAGAGGGCGGGAGGCCACAUUGGGACUGGGACACGGCCCAAACUUCUACGGGAGGCAGCAGUAGGGAAUUUUCGUCAAUGGGGGGAACCCUGAACGAGCAAUGCCGCGUGAGUGAGGAAGGUCUUCGGAUCGUAAAGCUCUGUUGUAAGAGAAAAACGACAUUCAUAGGGAAUGAUGAGUGAGUGAUGGUAUCUUACCAGAAAGUCACGGCUAACUACGUGCCAGCCGCCGCAGUAAUAC
rnacentral:rRNA from 1 species